AAGAGAUUUACUGUCAAAAAGAAAAGAGGAAUGCCAGACCAUUAUUAUAUGGAUCUUAAAGGCCACUACCAUGGCUUUGGUUUUUUUUUUCUCUAGUUUCUGGAGGGACAGCAUGUUUCCAGUGCAUUCACAAGCAAGAGUUAUCUGCAAAGAGUGAAUGGGGACUGAAGGCAACAGUCUUGCUGAAACUACCAUGGCAAAGCAAAGAUGAAUACACCUAAGAGGAGCAGAAUGUGAAGAGCCCAGAAGGAAGGACCCCUAUUUAUCAAGCACAACGAACAGUUAAAAGACACAGGGUGCAGAGAAAAUGGAUUGAGAGAAGCACACAGGCAGUAUUCAGCACAUUAUUUCUUCAAAAAGCAUAUCAAGCAUACCUACUAUGCGCCAAUACUGUUCCACUUGCUGGAGACAGAGUGAUCAAGAAAAA